GGGACAGUAGGUUGGUCGUGCCACCGGUACGUACUGGUCUCACUGAUUCCUCCUUCCUGAAGAACCGUAAUGCCAUCAAUUUGGUGUUGCGGGGAAACAGGACUGUUACUUUGAAAAAAUUAGAGUGUUUAAAGCAAGCUAACGCUUGAAUACAUUAGCAUGGAAUAAUGAAAUAGGACGAUCGAUCCUAUUUUGUUGGUUUCUAGGAUUGACGUA
rnacentral:rRNA from 1 species